rnacentral:tRNA from 1 species
GUACCCGUAGCUCAGUUGGAUAGAGCAUCAGACUCCGACUCUGAAGGCCGAAGGUUCGAAUCCUUUCGGGUACACCA